rnacentral:misc_RNA from 1 species
GAUGAAGAACGUAGUGAAAUGCGAUAAGUAAUGCGAAUUGCAGAAUUCAGUGAAUCAUCGAAUCUUUGAACGCACAUUGCGCCCGCCAGUAUUCUGGCGGGCAUGCCUGUUCGAGCGUCAUUUCAACCAUCAAGCCCCCGGCUUGUGUUGGGGACCUGCGGCUGCCGCAGGCCCUGAAAAGCAGUGGCGGGCUCGCUGUCACACCGAGCGUAGUAGCAUACAUCUCGCUCUGGGCGUGCUGCGGGUUCCGGCCGUUAAACCACCUUCAUAACCCAAGGUUGACCUCGGAUCAGGUAGGAAGACCCGCUGAACUUAAGCAUAUCAAUAAGCGGAGGA